AGUGGUCAAGAAAGGAAAGAGGCUUGCGAUUAUCGACUUGGAACGCCCUUUAUGAACGAUAAUCUUUCGAUUAUCGACUUGGAACGCCCUUUACGUACUUUGAAUGGUAUACGAAUGUCGGAUAUGACGCUUGUAUUUAGCACGGUAUUUGCCGGAGACGUCCGAAGUAAUCGGAAAGAUCGACGUCUUAGCCGCGUGGAGUAGCUUUUCGCCACCACUGAUUGGACUCCCCGGGCCUAUAUCAUCAAUCCUAACUGUGUUGAAUAAGUUCCUACAGGUUGUGCGAUCCUCUGACGUCAUUGCGCGUUUCGAUACCCCUGAAAUUCACAGGAGAUGUUUACGGGAGUCUGGUGAUAGAUGAAAGCGCUGUAUGACGAGCAGCGGCCGGCCAUGGCAUGCUUGCAUAGCCAGUCAAGAAGCCAUGCUUCUUCCAAGGGUAACGUUGGCCGCACGGACGUCACCGCGUAUACCAAAAGGUACAAGUGUAGCCGGUGUGGAAUACGCGCAUUUCACUGGCCGACGCUCGAUGCGGCUACAGGUCAUGCACUGAGGGGAAGUUUAAUGAUUACCUUCUUGUGAGUAGAUCAAAACAAGAAUACUGAGGACGAAAAGAGGUGUGACAUCCGGUGAUGGGUUUGGCCAGACUUGUGCCCCUGUGGUGAAAUGCGAGAUCUACCUGCUUUCUCGGGUGUACAAUAUCCCUAUCGUGUACGGGAACAAACUUGGGGAAGCUUUGCAGAGGUAGAAUCCGUAUGUUCCGUCUGGCGUCGCGAUUGAUCUGGAAUUAAUUGUCAGUCUGCCUUUCCAAGAAAAUCAAAGCCUUUUUUCACACGGUCUGCGAGUAGUGUGCUGGUACCAUUGUACUGUACAACUGAUGUUUAAAAACUGACAAAAGUGGAACAGUUUAAAAAUGAACUGAACGAAAUACUGUGGCAGUUUGGGCAGUGUCCUUUUGAAGAGAAAGGCUCUAAUUUCUGUAUCAGCGGUUAACAUGUCGUCCGGUGGGCACAGGCUUCAGCAACCAAAGGUGUCUGUUAGCAAUUAAUGGUUAGUUUUCUGCGGUCUGUCGUCAUGGCUACACGUUGUGAGGGCAGCAUCAUUGAUGUUAGCGCGAGCCGCUGAAUGAUGGGCGGGAAGGGCUUCUGGCGGAUCAAUAUGCCCGGGCUGGCGUGCGUGGGUGUUAGCACGCGCCAGGGUACUCAUUUACAUAAUUUAUGUGCCGAAAGUAGUCCGUGCCUGUCCCACUAGGUCAAACUUCAUCGAUUUCGCAGGAAAUAACAUUAAAUUGUUCAACGUUUCGAAACCAAUCAAGUCGAUUAUGUUAGAUAAUGGUAAUCAACUUUAGCCGUCGUACUCAGGAAGUGCUAAACUUUUCUACACCUCUCUUUGAGAGCGAGAGUCACAGAUCCAUAGCUUCCUUUCCCACAAGGUUUGGCAAUUCAAAAUGGCGCCACACUCUGUACGCAGUCACACCAAUAUCUCUGUUGUUUGGAAAAAUUCGACCUGGCUCUGUGAAGAACAAAACAUUAGCCUUGACUUGUGUGUUGAACGUUUAAUAUAAUAAAGCCCGUAUACAUUGCCAGGAUGAAUUUUAUAAUGCAUAUCAUAAUUUCAAAUGACACGUCAGGUUUUGUAUUUCCCUUCGACACGCUUCUCUUUCAUAUUAUUAUAGAUUUCCACGCAGACCUUGUUCCAAAAUUUAGUUGUUUGUGUUAUAUUUUCAAAGAAUUUCACCGUACAGAACAUAUUUAUUGCAUAUACAUAUAUAUAUAGUUAUUAAUUGCAGAAGCCAUGGUGAAUCAUUUGUAACAUCGGUGGUAUAAGAAAAUUACCAGACAUUUUAUAUGUGUGUUCUGCAAUCACAUUAAAAGUUUUCACUUGAUUUAAUUAGAUUGUUGUUUAAACCCACAUUCAAAAAUUACCACUUAUACGAUUGGUGGUAAGAAUUAAGUGUGGAGGAAAACGGAAUGCUUGGGGCAAACAACCGACAUUUGGCGAGUUACUGGCGUACUUCCCCACCAUUAAGUAUACAACAUAUAGAAAUUAACACUGAAUUAUAUACUGAAAAAUAUGGAGUAACUACUUCAAGCACGUGCUGACAGGUAAACAAGAAAACAAAAUGUGUUGAGCAUAGAGACAGAAUGUACUUUUCUCAGGGCAAUGUCAUCACAUUAUUUAUUUCCAAUUACCCUUGUGUACGUGGAUUUACAUUCGAUACCAUGCUUCUAUUAUAUGAACUGUUUUUGUAUCUACACCUUAUUUAUUUAUUUCAGUGUUUGUUUUGAAUACAGUUGACAUGUUUAUAUACAAUGGUUCAGGUUAAAAAUUGUUCUGAUUUCAGUAUAAAAGUGGCAUGGAAUGUAUAUUCUAU